GCCCCACUGGGGCUCAAUCUCAGGAACCAAGAGAUCAUGAUCCAGCGCAAGUCAGACCAUUAACCGACUGAGCCACCCAGGCGCCCCCUAUUGGUUCUUUUUUUUGAAAAGCCCUAAUACACUGAUGAGUCCAGCUCUCUCCCUGCCCUACUCAGUCAACGACCUUCAAAUGAAGAUGUUGAUUUUUGGUAAUUUUGAAAGACUCAGGCUGGUGAUGAUGUCAACGCCAAGGCAAGGAAGCAGUCAGUUUCACUAGGGGCUAGUUCUUGUGCCGACUUCACGAAUUUAUGAAUGGCUGUGGCAAGAAAGGCACGCUCCUCCCCUGGUCUUGCCUGUUUGGGGAGUGGGUACUCAGUAUACUCACUGUCCUGUGUGGACGUGUCAGAAAUACAGACAUCGUUGAGUCCGUUUUGUUCUCAGUCUCAAAGCCUCUGGAGAGCUGGUAACAUAAACCCUAAGGUCUUGUGGGGCCUGACAUACUGUGAGCUUUAGACACUGACCCCACACAGCUAGCAUCACUCACCAACUUGCUCUGAAACAGGAAAGAAUACGUGUACUGACCCCAUGCAGUCUUUCUUUCUUUUUUUUUUUUUUUUAAUUUUUAUUCAUUUUUUGGUAGAGACAGAGUGUGAGUGGGGGAGGGGCAGACACCGAAUCCGAAGCGAGCUCCAGGCUCUGAGCGGUAGCACAGAGCCGGGCGCGGGGCUCGAACUCAGGAACCGCGAGGUCGCCCAACCGACUGAGCCACCCAGGCGCCCCUCCUAUGCAGUCUUUCUUACCCGACUGCAGAAAUAGUUCUUGGCCUGAAAUCUCACUUCAAAUGUGGGGCUAAGGUGUUCUUUUUAGAGGCCUUCAGACACUGCCAGGACGCCGGGAGCAACCUUUUUCAGGACGCAAAGCUCGGUGCCCUUAACUCCCGGAAGAGGAGGAAAAGCACAAUCUCUGAACUAGCUGGAAGACAAGCCACCCGGCUUAGUGUCCCCCCACCUCCCCACCUCGGCUCCCCAGACUUUCAGACCCAGGAGCGCACACAAGUACCGAUCCUGACCAUUAGGUGGCACUGUUGUACACGACAUGGACUGACCUGGGCUCCGGACGACUGACCGCGCUCCACCUUGAUCCGCCUUUCGAUUUCUGCAUGACCGCGGGGUUCCCCAAAGUCUAGCGGUGCCCAGCCUGAGGCCAGUAACCAGUCAACAGUUGACACAAAAUACAGGUAAAGCCCACCUGGGCUUUGCACUCUGGCAGUUACAGCUCUUUGUGAUGGAGGAUGGAAAAGCAGUCGGUAUGGUGAGCAGCCGGAAGGGCAAAUAAAAAUAUUUUUUACCGUUGCAUUUUAAAAUUCAUAAUAAACUAUGUCCAAUGUACAGGAAAAUUACAGAGAACAUUACAAGAAACCCUUGAAUUGAAUUGCCAUGUCUGCUUCAGUGUUUUGCUUUGUUUUAUAUAUGUAUUCACAAACAUUGUAUAGCAUCGUUCUGUGUGUUUUCAAAUUUUAUGUAAAUAUUUCCAUUUCUAUUACAUCAUUUUGCAAGUUGCUUUUACCACCUCAACCAUUAUUUUUCGUUUUGGGGGUUUAUUACUGUCGCUGUAAGUAGCUCUGAUUUAUUUAUUUGAACCACUGUAUUGUAUUCCAUUGAAUCUCUACAACAGUUUAUAAAAUCAUCGGCUAUUUCCAAUUUUGUUAUUACUGCAGGUAAAGCUGAAAUGACAAUUUAAAAACAACUUUAUUUAGGUAUACCUUACAUACCAUAGAGUUUACCCACUUUAUUAAAGUAUACAAUUCAAUGGC